rnacentral:rRNA from 1 species
AACGAACGCUGGCGGCAGGCUUAACACAUGCAAGUCGAACGCAUCGCAAGAUGAGUGGCAGACGGGUGAGUAACACGUGGGAACAUACCCUUUGGUGCGGAACAACAGCUGGAAACGGCUGCUAAUACCGCAUGCGCCCUACGGGGGAAAGAUUUAUCGCCGAAGGAUUGGCCCGCGUCUGAUUAGCUAGUUGGUGAGGUAAUGGCUCACCAAGGCGACGAUCAGUAGCUGGUCUGAGAGGAUGAUCAGCCACACUGGGACUGAGACACGGCCCAGACUCCUACGGGAGGCAGCAGUGGGGAAUAUUGGACAAUGGGCGCAAGCCUGAUCCAGCCAUGCCGCGUGAGUGAUGAAGGCCCUAGGGUUGUAAAGCUCUUUCAGCGAGGAGGAUAAUGACGUUACUCGCAG